UGUAGCUUGACAUUGGGUCUUGGUACUACAUGUACAGGAUAGGUGGGAGGCUUUGAAACCAGGACGCCAGUUUUGGCGGAGCCAUCCUUGGGAUACCACCCUUGUAGUACUGGGACUCUAACCAUAGGCCAUGAAUCUGGUCUUGGGACACUGUCAGGUGGGCAGUUUGACUGGGGCGGUCGCCUCCCCAAAGGUAACGGAGGCGCUCAAAGGUUCUCUCAGUACGGUCGGAAAUCGUACGUCGAGUGUAAAGGCAAAAGAGAGCUUGAGUGCAAGACAUACAGGUCGAGCAAGGCUGAAAAUCGGACUUAGUGAU
rnacentral:rRNA from 1 species